CGUGAGUGAAGAAGGCCCUCGGGUUGUAAAGCUCUUUUGUCAGGGAAGAAACGGUCUACUCUAAUACAGUGGGCUAAUGACGGUACCUGAAGAAUAAGCACCGGCUAACUACGUGCCAGCAGCCGCGGUAAUACGUAGGGUGCAAGCGUUAAUCGGAAUUACUGGGCGUAAAGCGUGCGCAGGCGGUUUUAUAAGUCUGAUGUGAAAUCCCCGGGCUCAACCUGGGAACUGCAUUGGAGACUGUAAGGCUAGAGUGUGUCAGAGGGGGGUAGAAUUCCACGUGUAGCAGUGAAAUGCGUAGAUAUGUGGAGGAAUACCGAUGGCGAAGGCAGCCCCCUGGGAUAACACUGACGCUCAUGCACGAAAGCGUGGGGAGCAAACAGGAUUAGAUACCCUGGUAGUCCACGCCCUAAACGAUGUCUACUAGUUGUCGGGUCUUAAUUGACUUGGUAACGCAGCUAAC
rnacentral:rRNA from 1 species